UACGUAGGGGGCAAGCGUUGUCCGGAUUCAUUGGGCGUAAAGAGCGUGUAGGCGGCCAGCUAGGUCAGCUGUGAAAACUCGGGGCUCAACCCCGAGACGUCGGUUGAAACCAUCUGGCUAGAGUCCGGAAGAGGAGUGUGGAAUUCCCGGUGUAGCGGUGAAAUGCGCAGAUAUCGGGAAGAACACCCGUGGCGAAGGCGGCACUCUGGGACGGUACUGACGCUGAGACGCGAAAGCGUGGGGAGCGAACAGG
rnacentral:rRNA from 1 species